CACGUAGGAGGCGAGCGUUGUCCGGAAUCAUUGGGCGUAAAGAGCGCGCAGGCGGCUUGGCAAGUCGGGUGUGAAAUCCCGGGGCUCAACCCCGUGACUGCAUCCGAUACUGUCAGGCUAGAGGUAGGUAGGGGAGAUCGGAAUUCCUGGUGUAGCGGUGAAAUGCGCAGAUAUCAGGAGGAACACCGGUGGCGAAGGCGGAUCUCUGGGCCUUACCUGACGCUCAGGCGCGAAAGCAUGGGGAGCGAACAGG
rnacentral:rRNA from 1 species